rnacentral:lncRNA from 1 species
UAUGUGAAAGACUUGCUCGUUACCCACAAAAAGGGAGGACGAGCCUGGUACAUAGAAAACCCUACCGUAAAUGUUACUUCAGUCGGACGGGGUUGAAAAGUCCUUAGCAGAGAGGUUUGAGAGAUAUGGUUUACUUUCAUAUGGGACGAGGUAUCGAUGCGAUAGAAUAUUUGGCGCCCAUUACUGAACGAGGUAUGUAAACGAUCAAUUAAUUAUAAAAUUGGAUAUUAGGCUCACGAGUUAGGGGUGCAUCCCUAUGGACCCUCAGGGGUACCAGUAAGCAGGUAAGAAAGAAAAG